CCACAUCUACCGGUGAGGUUCACCUGACCGAGCGUCCGUCUUCGGGACAGGGAACGCCUCGGGUCGUUGCACGGCACGAGACCCCGGAACGGCCUGCUGCAGCCUCGAACCCGCAUCUGCGCGCGAGGUUCGGGAGAGCGAGCGACCGUCGUCAAGACGAGGAGCGCCUCGGGUCGUUGCCUUGCACGAGGCCUCAGGCGGGCCUGCCGGCAUCUUGGAACCCGCUUCUACGCGCGAGGUUCGGGUGACCGGGCGACCGAGUGGCCUGUUCUCGUCUACGGAGCUGUGGGCCGUCCACCUUUUCCUGCCCCGUGCUGCUGCGUCUGCUCUACCACGCCGGUCAUCACUCGACGAGCGGGUGUUCCACUUCAAGAACUCUACGCCUCACCACACUCCGGACUUAACCGCAACCUCCUCUCUAGUCGAAGACAUGGACUGCUUCCUUGGGAAAUUCGUCUUCGUGGUGGUUGCGGCCGCAUUCGCUACGCUGAUUAUGGCCCCAAAUGAAGCUGGGGCAUUUCCACUCAGUGUAUAUGAAACUAUUGAAAAGGCCAAGGGACGAAUGGAAGACAACGUCGAGUGACGAAGCAUCAGUCUUCCUGACACAGUGCGACUGGCUUGCGUUCCAUUCAGGACACCUGCUUCAUAACUGAAUAAAAUGAA